CAGUAGCGGCAGCGGCGACGGCGGCGGCAGCGCUCCAACUGGCUCCUCGUUCCGGGCUCUGCCGUCGAGCCGGGAGAGAGCCUCCGCCAGCGGCCAGGCACUAGCCAGACGACGCCAGCGACCCCGGCCUCUAGGCGGCACCGCGCUCACUCAGGGGCUGCACAGGCACCCAGAGCCGAACUCCAAGAUGCGAGGCAAGCUCAGCAAGAAGAAGAAGGGCUACAAUGUGAACGACGAGAAAGCCAAGGACAAAGACAAGAAGGCUGAGGGCGCGGCGACGGAAGAGGAGGGGACCCCGAAGGAGAGCGAGCCCCAAGCGGCCGCGGAGCCCGCCGAGGCCAAGGAGGGCAAGGAGAAGCCCGACCAGGACGCCGAGGGCAAGGCCGAGGAGAAGGAGGCCGAGAAGGACGCGGCGGCAGCCAAGGAGGAGGCCCCGAAGGCGGAGCCCGAGAAGACGGAGGGCGCGGCGGAGGCCAAGGCUGAGCCCCCGAAGGCGCCCGAGCAGGAGCAGGCGGCCCCCGGCCCCGCUGCGGGCGGCGAGGCCCCCAAAGCUGCCGAGGUCGCCGCGGCCCCGGCCGAGAGCGCGGCCCCUGCUGCCGGGGAGGAGCCCAGCAAGGAGGAAGGGGAACCCAAAAAGACUGAGGCGCCCGCAGCUCCUGCCGCCCGGGAGACCAAAAGUGACGGGGCCCCCGCUUCAGACUCAAAAACCCGGCAGCUCGGAGGCUGCCCCCUCUUCCAAGGAGACCCCCGCAGCCACGGAAGCGCCUAGUUCCACACCCAAGGCCCAGGCCCCCGCAGCCUCCGCAGAAGAGCCCAAGCCGGUGGAGGCCCCGGCAGCUAAUUCUGAUCAAACCGUAGCCGUGAAAGAGUGACAAGGACAGCCUAUAGGAAAAAUAAUACUGUUU